rnacentral:rRNA from 1 species
UACGAGAGGCGCAAACGUUAUUCGGAAUUACUAGGCGUAAAGGGCAGGUAGGUGGUUCGAUAAGUCUGUUGUGAAAGCUCCCGGCUUAACUGGGAGAGGUCAACAGAAACUGUCGGGCUUGAGUAUAGGAGAGGAACGCGGAAUUCCAGGUGUAGCGGUGAAAUGCGUAGAUAUCUGGAGGAACACCGGUGGCGAAGGCGGCGUUCUGGACUGUAUCUGACACUGAGGAACGAAAGCCAGGGGAGCAAACGGG